rfam:Triticum aestivum genome assembly, contig: Triticum_aestivum_CS42_TGACv1_scaffold_433395_5DL
GUACUACUUUCUUUGUCCGGAAAUACUCGUCGGAGAAAUGGAUAAAAAUGGAUGUAUCUAGAACUAAAAUACCUCUAGAUACAUCAAUUUAUCCGAUAAAUAUUUCCGGGCGGAGGGAGUAGUAC